AGUUUGAAGAAGAAUUUCUGGAGACAAGAGAACAAUAUGAGAAGUUGCAAAAGGACGGCCGCCUGCCUUUUGAUCAAGUCCCUUUGGUUGAAAUUGAUGGAAUGCCGCUGACACAGUCUAGAGCCAUCCUCAGCUACCUCGCUGCCAAGUACAACUAGUACGGGAAGGACCUGAAGGAGAGACUCAGGCGUCUAGAUGUCCAAGUUCUCUCAACUUUUUGAAGAUGAGUAUUUUCCUGCAAAGACAAGAUCAGAACCAACCCUUAUUAGGUUUCUUUACCAUCUGUAAGACUGUCACCUUUGUGGAUGAGCUGUCAUUUCUCUU